AGAGAGAGAGAGUCAGGGACAGUGGAUGGAGGGUUAGAGGGGGAUGUAUGCCAGGUAGGAGUGAGAGAGGGAUGAGGGUAAGGGAUGGAGAGAGAGAGAGAGAGAGAGAGAGAGAGAGAGAGAGAGAGAGAGAGAGAGGCCAUGUAGGAGUAAGAGAGGGAUGAGGGUAAGGGAGAGAGAGCGAGAAUCAGGGCAGGCAGGUCAGACAGGUAGUGUUGGAAUGUGACUCCCUGCAGGUAUUAUCAGGCUCAGGGCAGACAGAGCAGAAAGAAGAGCGACGUGUUGACAGAUCACUCCCUGUCUAUUGACACGUCCUUCCUACCCUGAGGCUCUAUAUGAUGAGACAAUCUCUCUGCCUAGUCUGCACCAUCACCAUGACAACCCAUAGAGGAAGUCAACAUCUCAGUGAUGUCAUUGUGUGGGUGGCUGUUGGGAAGGUUUGCAGCACAGGUUGAUUAAAAGGCAUUGAUUUGUAAACAGGCCACCUUCCUGCACUACCUCACCCUGGGACUCCCCCGGGCUACAUCAGAUAGACCCCAUAGUAACUAGAGUAGCGUUGGAAGCACUGAGGUUACGAAUCAGCAAAACAGUGAGAAUGCUAGAAGUCUCUUGUUCUCACAUCAAAAAGCUUAAUGAAACAGCACAACUGUUUUGGAAUGAAUUAUUUCCCAUUAGUCCCUCACAUGGAAUGUAACUCUGAGCACACGUGUGACAUUUACAGAACAUGAUAAUAUUCCAUCAUAGUUCCUGGUAAAUCGGGACUUUGUUGAACACAAGAUACAACUGGUUUCCUUUAAUCAGAUGGGCCUCCUGUCUCUGAUUGAGCUCUGUGCCGUUCUAGAAGGGGAAUUGCUGAGGGUUGGUGGAGUGUUGAUUGAUGUGUGGUCCUCUAAUCCAGCCUUGUACUGUACUAUAUUCCAGACAUGGAUUCAAAUAGUAUUGGUUUUUGUUCAAAACCAAUACUAUGUGACUAUUUGAGUGUUGGCUUGGGCCUGCCCUUAGUGCCAGAUGGGCAGGGUUUCCAGAUGUGGGACUAUCCCUUUAGUUCCAUUGUGAAGGGAAAGCUAAUUUGAAAGAAAACAACAUACUAUUUGAACCUAGGACUGUGCUUCAGUACUGUCGUCCAGCUGCAUGCACUGUAGGCUGGCUUAAUGUGAUCCUCUGGAAGCAGAACUCCACUGCUCCUUUGCUUUAACCUUGAUCUCCUCAACACUGGUAAUGUAAUAAUUGGGAUAAUUCAGAUCCAUCCAGAUUCAUCCACAACGUCACGUUGAGUAAAGGCCCGCUGGAUGGAAAGCGCCUGUUGGCAACUCAAUCUGCUCUGGUAGAGCCAUCAACAUUUCUGAUGUCUUGAUUUAUUAACAAAGCCUGUCCUCUGAUUCCAGAAUAUCCUGGUUUAGAUUUAUUCCAUUUUGUGGGGGGUUUGUUGGUUCUAUCAUUUGAGGGGGGGUUUUAGGCAAGGAAGACGUAUUUUGAGUGCCUGUUUCCCAGAACAAGAUUAAACCUACUUCUGGUCUAAAAUGCAUGGAGAGUCUUCAUUGAAAGAGUCUUCAUUGAAAGAGCUUUGAAGGUGCAGGACUUUGUCUGUGUCAGACUUAACUGAGUAUUUGAAUGGGUCACUGUUUGGAAUGAAGUGUGCAUACGCUGUCUAUUUUAGGACAUCUUCAGGGAUGUAUGGACACUCAGUCAUCUGCUCCUCUUGUUGUGUUUUCAGGGAUGGAGAGAAGAUGGCUACUGGAUGUUCUCUGGACUGGAUCCUGUAUCAGCAGCAGCAGUGGAAGUUCCAUUUUGGAUCUGGCUAUCAUCAAUAUCAUUUAUUAAUAUCAGAAUACAGACCUUUAGACUAAUGUGAGGAGUGUUGUCCAGUGUUCCUCAGCCCCUUCCGGACAGGUACAUAAUGGGACACUUCAUGUUUCCUCAGCCCCUUCUGGACAGGUACAUAAUGGGACACUUCACGUUUCCUCAGCCCCUUCUGGACAGGUACAUAAUGGGACAGUCCACUUUUCAUCACAUCCCCCAUGGAAAGUUACAGUCCACUUUAACCACCAACACCUCUUGCCCCCAUAACGUACAUGGGACAGUCUCACAUUUCUUCUGGAAUAAGACAUGACAGUCAUCCACUCCAGUUCACCCAAUGGGAUUCCAACAGAAUGACUUUUAUUCUACUGCGCAUGUCUAAAGGACUGCCUUUCUGUUUAAAACAUCUAUGACAUCACACUGAGCUGCUGAUGUACUUAUUGAACAUGAUACAUGUACUUCUAUUUUCUAAUUCACUAUAUUAUGCUUUUAUUGAAACUUGAAGAAUGCUGAACUGGUCCAUUGAAGAUUUCUGAGGGCACUUUAAUAUGCCACUAUUUCAACAACAUAAAAUAAGCCUGUAUAUUGAGACAUGUUUACCUUCUCAUCGUAUCAAAUGUGACAAUAUGACAGUACAUUGCAGCACUUGCCACUUGUCAGGUCGCCAUUGUAAACAAUGAUUGGUCUCACCUGGAUAAUUAAAUGUUAGAUUAAACAAAUAAUACAUUGUUCCUCGCCGGUUUUGCAAACCAGUUGACAUCUCUAUCCAAACAGCUUCUAUCCAAACAGUAAAUGUUGACAUGUAUUAAUUACUGCUGUCAGAGUGUCUUAUCUUCUCAUCUAUGGUAGUUUCAUAGAACAGUAAGUCAUGUUGUCUAUCUGUCUGGAGAGAGAGAGAGCUAGAUGAAGGGAGAGAGAGAGUGAGAAAGGGAGAGAGAGAUGCAUACACAGAUAGAGAGAAAGAGAUUGAGAGAGAAGAGAGAGAAAGAGAUUGAGAGAGAAGAGAAAGAGAGAGGGAGAAAAGAGAGGGAGAGAGAGAGAAGAGAGAGAGAGAAAAAGUAGAGAGAGAGAGUGAGAGACUAGGUUCCCCCAGCCACAUCAUAAUUCACACAGGCACAAAUGACCUGAGGGCCCAGCAGGAAAGGGUGGCCACAGCACUCAAGGGAGUGAUUGAAAAAGCUUCUUCCACUUUCUCCAACAAACAAGUGGUUAUCUCCACCCUGCUACCACAAAAAUACUUUCAACCUGCCACCAUAGAGCGGGCGAAUGCAAGCAUUUUGCAAGACUGCGCCUCAAAACCUAAUGUCUACCUGGCCCACCACUCCACCCUGGACUUGAACAGCCUUAAUGAUGAGGUCCACCUCUACAAGGCAGCAAUCCCAACUUUUGCCAGGACCCUGAAGGAAGUCACCCUCAACCGUAGCCCCAGAACCUCACACAGGGGCAACUGAGCAACGGACAACCAGCCCAGACCAGCGAGACCCCGCCCUGAAGGACCUGCACCGAGAGAACCCAUACCAAGAGGACCUACACCCAGACCACAGCAUCACCAGCCACACCCCAGCCAGCCCAGACCAGAGAGACCCCGCCCUGAAGGACCUGCACCGAGAGAACCCAUACCAAGAGGACCUACACCCAGACCACAGCAUCACCAGCCACACCCCAACCAGCUAAGACCACCCCAAGCAGACCCUGGCUACACCCUAUAUAGGCCUCCCAUAUCAGACCUAUGCCCCUUCUGCCCACCCCAUGUCCCCCGCCCCUGCGGCGAGGACCUCAACAUGACAGCGGGACAUAUGCCCAGGCCGUGAACAGAGCAACAGGCCCAACCCCCACCAUUACACCCCCCAAGGCCAAUCCUGCCACCUAAGAGGUAUGUAUCAGAUGCUCAACAUGCUCUGCUCACACCUAUUUGGAUGGUCCAGGCCUAAACCUCACAAAAACAACACUAGACAUUAUGGAACACAAAGCUUUUACUAUCCCGUCAUGGAAUAUACAAGGUCUGAGGUCAUCUGUGCUACCUAUAUCCCCAUACGAUGACAGCUUCUCCAUCUUAUAGGGGGAGAUCAAUCAUUUCCAGGCCCAGGGACAUGUACUAGUCUGUGGCGACCUAAAUGCCAGAACUUGACAAGAACCUGACACCCUCAGCACACAGGGGGACAAACACCUACCUGGAGGUGACAGCAUUCCCCCCUCUCAUUAUUCGCCACAAAACGGGUUACAACUCCUGCCGCUCUGUCGGACGCUGGGUAUGUACAUAGUCAAUGGUAGGCUUCGAGGGGACUCUACGGUAGGUACACUUAUAGCUCAUCUCUUGGCAGUAGUACUGUGGACUACUUUAUCACUGACCUCAACCCAGAUGUAUGAAUAAACCACUUCUCCAAUAUUUUUGGCUCUAUAACAAAGAACAAACAGCAAAACCAUGAACAUGAUCAAAUACCGAUCUUAGAAUCAACUAUUAAAGACUACCAGAACCCACUGGAAUCUCCAAUUACAUAGAAUUAACUACUGGACAAAAUGGAAACCCUCCAACCCAAAAAGGCCUGUGGGGUUGAUGGUAUCCUAAAUGAAAUGAUAAAAUAUACAGACCACAAAUUCCAAAUGGCAAUACUUAAGCUCUUUAACAUCAUCCUCAAUUCUGGCAUAUUCCCCAAUAUUUGGAACCAAGGACUGAUCACCCCAAUCCACAAAAGUGGAGACAAAUAUGACCCCAAUACCUAUCGUGGGAUAUAGGUCAACAGCAACCUUGGGAAAAUCCUCUCUGAAUUGUCAUUAACAGCAGACUCGUACAUUUCCUCAGCGAAAACAAUGUACUAAGCAAAUGUCAAAUUGUCUUUUUACCAAAUUACCGUAAUCACUCUGCACCCUAAUUGACAAAUGAACAAACCAAAACAAAGGCAAGGUCUUAUCAUGCUUAUUUUGUUU